GUGAUCUAUCCAUGUCCAGGUUGAAGCUGCCGUAAGAGGUAGUGGAGGACCGAACGCACAUCCGUUGAAAAGGGUGGCGAUGAGGUGUGGAUAGGGGAGAAAUUCCAAUCGAACCCGGAGAUAGCUGGUUCUCCUCGAAAUAGCUUUAGGGCUAGCCUCGUAUUAGUCUAGUGGAGGUAGAGCACUGAAUUUCCUAGGGGGCGUCAAAGCUUACCGAAGAAUAUCAAACUCCGAAUGCCAUAUAGAUGAUGUACGGGAGUCAGACUGCACGAGAUAAGUUGGGCAGUCAAAAGGGAAAGAGCCCAGACCGCCAGCUAAGGUCCCAAAGUGUGUGUUAAGUGGAAAAGGAUGUGGGAUUUCGAAGACAACUAGGAUGUUGGCUCAGAAGCAGCCAUACAUUAAAAGAGUGCGUAAUAGCUCACUAGUCGAGAGGUCCUGCGCCGAAAAUGUCCGGGGCUGAAACACAACACCGAAGCUGCGGAACCCGCAAGGGUUGGUAGAGGAGCAUUCUUAAAGGAACGAAGCAGUACCGUAAGGAGCUGUGGACUUUUAAGAAGAGAGAAUGCCGGAAUGAGUAGCGAGAGGAAGGUGGGAAUCCUUCCGGCCGAAUAUCUAAGGUUUCCAGAGUAAAGCUGAUCUGCUCUGGGUAAGUCGGGACCUAAGGCGAGGCCGAGAGGCGUAGCCGAUGGACAACAGGUUGAGAUUCCUGUACUACAGUAUGACAGAACUGUGGGGACGCAGAAGGAGAGCACUACCUGGAAUGGAAUCCAGGGGCAAGCACAGGAGGGGUACGGCUGGAAAAACCGCCGUGCAACCCAAAGGUGUGACGCAUACCGAACUAAAGUAGGGAAAUGUGUGAGCCGGCUGCCGAGAAAAGCCGCUAUUGUUUGUACUGUACCCGUACCGUAAACCGACACAGGUGGAUGAGGAGAGAAUCCUAAGGCCGACGGAAGAAGCAUUGCUAAGGAACUCGGCAAAAUGACCCUGUAACUUCGGGAGAAAGGGUGCCUCGAAAGAGGCCGCAGAGAAUUGGCCCAAGCAACUGUUUAGCAAAAACACAGGUCUAUGCAAAACCGCAAGGUGAAGUAUAUGGGCUGACGCCUGCCCGGUGCUGGAAGGUUAAGGGGAGAUGUCAGGAGACGAAGCAUCGAACUUAAGCCCCAGUAAACGGCGGCCGUAACAAUAACGGUCCUAAGGUAGCGAAAUUCCUUGUCGGGUAAGUUCCGACCCGCACGAA
rnacentral:rRNA from 1 species